rnacentral:rRNA from 1 species
AACGAACGCUGGCGGCAGGCCUAACACAUGCAAGUCGAACGCUGUAGCAAUACAGAGUGGCAGACGGGUGAGUAACGCGUGGGAACAUGCCCUUUGGUUCGGAAUAACUCAGGGAAACUUGAGCUAAUACCGGAUACGCCCCAAGGUUUAGUCGCUUUGGGGGAAAGAUUUAUUGCCGAAGGAUUGGCCCGCGUCCGAUUAGCUAGUUGGUGAGGUAACGGCUCACCAAGGCGACGAUCGGUAGCUGGUCUGAGAGGAUGAUCAGCCACACUGGGACUGAGACACGGCCCAGACUCCUACGGGAGGCAGCAGUGGGGAAUAUUGGACAAUGGGCGCAAGCCUGAUCCAGCCAUGCCGCGUGAGUGAUGAAGGCCCUAGGGUUGUAAAGCUCUUUCGCCAGGGACGAUAAUGACGGUACCUGGAUAAGAAGCCCCGGCUAACCUCGUGCCAGCCGCCGCCGUAACAC